rnacentral:rRNA from 1 species
UACGUAGGGCGCAAGCGUUGUCCGGAAUUAUUGGGCGUAAAGAGCUCGUAGGCGGUCUGUUACGUCCGCUGUGAAAACCCGGGGCUUAACCCUGGGCUGGCAGUGGAUACGGGCAGACUAGAGGUAGGUAGGGGAGAAUGGAAUUCCCGGUGUAGCGGUGAAAUGCGCAGAUAUCGGGAGGAACACCGGUGGCGAAGGCGGUUCUCUGGGCCUUACCUGACGCUGAGGAGCGAAAGCGUGUGGAGCGAACAGG